rnacentral:rRNA from 1 species
CCUACGGGUGGCAGCAGUGGGGAAUAUUGGGCAAUGGGCGCAAGCCUGACCCAGCAACGCCGCGUGAAGGAAGAAGGCUCUCGGGUUGUAAACUUCUUUUAUCAGGGACGAAGCAAGUAACGGUACCUGAUGAAUAAGCCACGGCUAACUACGUGCCAGCAGCCGCGGUAAUACGUAGGUGGCAAGCGUUAUCCGGAUUUACUGGGUGUAAAGGGCGUGUAGGCGGGAAAGUAAGUCAGAUGUGAAAACCAUGGGCUCAACCUGUGGCCUGCAUUUGAAACUGUUUUUCUUGAGUACUGGAGAGGGAGACGGAAUUCCUAGUGUAGCGGUGAAAUGCGUAGAUAUUAGGAGGAACACCAGUGGCGAAGGCGGUCUGCUGGACAGCAACUGACGCUGAGGUGCGAAAGCGUGGGGAGCAAACAGGAUUAGAUACCCCGGUAGUC